rnacentral:lncRNA from 1 species
GCAUCAUUAGGUUUGAUGUGCCACCCAGGUUAAACUUCCUCUUUUUCAUGUGUGAAGGUAGUAAGUACCGUGUAGAAGAGGACCCCUUCCUUCCCCCAUUACCUAUCAUUAGCUUACCUCAAAUAACCAGACUCAAGACGUAGAUGGGGACAAACAGGCCACAUCUUUAUUUAAUAUGAAUAAAUCUCAUUAAUUUAACAUAUUAACAUAAUACAUUAACACAAUAUACCUGUAAAAAUUUCAAACUCAAACCUUGCCCUCAUCCCUCACCCUAACCACAAACCGGCCUCAAAACUGGCCUUACAUUAACCUCCAUGCUAACCACUGGCCUUUGGCUCAGCCGGCAUUUCCUUUACCCAUACUAAUGACCUAGAUUAGGGGAGGGAUCAGCCCCGAUCCUAAUUUCCAUUGGACCGCUUGCCAACCCGAUUUUCUAAGUGCUAUAUUUUAUGACUUCCUGUGAAAUUGUUAAUCAGCUUUCAUUUUAGGAAGCUGAUUGUGAACAAUCAACAGCACACACAGCCAUAUCCCUUCUCCAGGAGAGAGCUGUAUGCGCAUUGGACAGUAGUAUUACAUUCCUAUACUGUUUAAUGAACAUAUAACUCCAUACUGUAAAUUGUCACGGGCCGGGCAGGAGGGCUGCACAGUGUUUUAUGCAGAUGAUGAUGGGGAACUAUUGAAAGCUGAGAUGACUGCCAUAUACGCCAAGCCUCCUCCACUAUCAGAGGAGCUCUUUUAAAAAAAUGUGCAUUUCAAAAGGAUAAAACAGCGCUCACACACAAAACAAAAUACAGUUUUAAAUCAGUUGGCCAUGUCACAUUAAGCCCACCACAAAAUUACAGUACCCCAAUAUCAGUGGGUCCAGCACUAAUUUUAACAUGGGAGAUUAACAUGCUAACUGCAAUACUUACUGCUUAAACUGCUUCCAGAGAGUUUCCUCAAAUAUAGGCUUUCCUGUGGUCACCUCCAAAGAGGCACUUAGAGUGGAGUCACGGGGUGCUCAACGCAAAAAUCUGAUCUGGAUUCCAGAUGUACACACAAACAAACGAAUUGGAGGGAACACCCAGAACAUGCAUUUCUCAAAUAUAUACAAAAUACAGAUUAAGUAACAGCACAUAAACAACAAAAUACAGUUUGAAAUCUUACAAAUCUUAACAAGUAAAUAUGCAGAUUUGGCUACACCAUAUGGUCAUAUCAUGUUAAGACCACCACUACGUUACAGUACCCCAACAUUGAUGUAAUCCUUAGCUAAUUUUACCAUAGGAGAUAAGCAUGCUAACGAUACUUACUGCUUAAAUUGAUUCCAGAGACUCUCCUCAAAUCUUUUCUGUGGUCUCCUCCAAAGUGGCACUGAGAUUGGAGUGGGGUUUAGUGCGGCUAACAGAAACUCAUUGCAGGAUAUAUUAUUCUUGUUCUUGAUAAUCUCAAUGAGACAGCCAUUAGAGGCUGGAUUAACAUUCAGUGAAACAUAGCAGUUUCUUUGAAACUGCUAUGUUUUCAGCUACAGGGUUAAAACUAGAGGGACCUGGCACCUAGACCACUUCAUUGAGAUGAUGUGAUCUGGGUGUCUGUAGUGGUCCUUUAAGUGUAUGUGUACCUGCAUGCACUGACGUACAUACCGUGGUCGCAUCCCUGCGACCCCUGAGACCAGGUGCCCGCCGCCUUGUGUUGCGGCCCUAGCCCGCGCAGAGUAAGCGCGGGGGUGGGGGGCCCCAUAGGUUGUGUGUAUGCCACUGGUCCCUUUAAUGUAAUUGAGAUUCAUUGUUUGAUGAACAUGCAAAACCCAAUUUCUAUAUAGGAUUCACACGUGAGUAUUGCUGGUAUUUAAGCAUAUACUGUAUAGUACAAAAUGACAGAAUAGACAAGGAGUGAGCUUUGAAGGUGUAACUCUCUGCUUGCAACGCUUCACUUUAUAGUUCCCAAAAAAACUAACUUAGUAACAUACCUGGCUGUAAUGAGAACCCAUCUUGUCCCUCUCCCGAGCCCCAUAUGUGACAGGAUACACCUGUCAUGUAUCCUGUCACAUACUUCAAACGUGUUACAUACCAUCUUACAGUUACAUUCACUAAGCCACACACACCUAUUCACAUACCACAGCCUACCCAAUAACAUUCACCUCAUCCACUAGAUUACAUAUACUGCAUUCAUUCUGUUUUUUAUGAUGUCCUUUAUUGUGCAAGUGGUGAGGCAUAUGAAAUGAGCGGUCAUAUGAAAUGAGAGGAACAAGAUGUGUAAAGGUAGAAAUUUAACUACAUCCAUAUAUGACACUGAAAAGUUAUGCCCCCAGGUCUCAUUGACCCUAUGGUCACUACUGCUUCUGAUUUGCCUUUAAUAGAUAUGAGAAUUGCAAAUUUGGACAGAAUUUAGUCGUGUUGACCAGAUUUUGCAAAUCUGGACCACAUCCGUGCAUUAGUGAAUUACUCUGUUAGUGAACUUCACACAUGUUAAAAAGAAUAGUUUGGUGGAUGCUGGAAUGAAAGAAUAAUUGGCUGAUCCAAUGUGAGAAAAAAUGUCAGAGGGCAGCCUAUCUAAUAUACAUGUUUAUAAUACAAGACAUUCACCUUUAUCCUGAUUACCUAUCCACUUCAGUGUUAAGUGAUAUCAUUGAUUUUCCAGUUAGCCCUUCAAGAAAUUCCACAGGCAGACUGCCCUUUGUGUUUAAACACCAUUUCUUGUGAAAUGUGAGCAUUACUUUUUCAAUCUAAAUGUCACACUGUCACUGCCUUUAUAAUGUAAAAAUAAAAUAUAACCCAACGUAACUGGUGUUAAAUAGACAACAUUCUGAUUUCAGAAUUUAAUAUCUCAGUGCUUGUCUUCAAGUAGCUUUAUCAUCCUUACCAAGAGAUCUAAAUUACCAUUAAAAUGCAGGUUUAAAUAUCACCCACACAUCUGUUUUACAUUUUUUCAGCAUCCGUCUUUACAACAUGAUGAUGUUUGUGGAUUAUUUCCUAUGAUGUUCCUUGCUCAGAAACAAACAUUUGCAGUGACAAUUUUAGUCAUCACCUCAAUGAAAAAAACAGAAAAGAUUCAGUGCUUGAACAAUACUGAUCUAGUCCAAAGGCAGUUCAAUCACCAAAAGUCUAUCAUGUCCGAUAGGGGGUAGUAUAAAACAUGAAAAGAAGUCCUUUAAGGAAUGUAUGCAAUGACAAAAAAAGGGAAAACAAAAAGGACAGAUAGUGUAGUAAGUUGAAAACUACUUGAUAAAGUAAAUGCAGCUCUGACUUACCUACCCCUGCUUAUUAGCUACUACACUAUAUACUUUUAUUCUGUCUUGUAUUUUUAUUUUUUUAUUCUUUAUUUUGUUGUGGAAUAAUUUCCGCAAGUUUUGGUGAUAAUAUAAAUUUUUCCAGUGCAAAAAGAUAAAAGACAAACAUAACAGUAGUUAUUAACAUACAGGAGUUAAUUGUGGCUUGACUGAUGGGUCCCCUGAGGGCGAACCGUUCGGUUUCUGUUUAGAUCCUCUGUCUUGUCCCCAUGAGGUCCCCUCCCUUUUCUCUCUUCGGUCGUAUUCACCAUCUCUAUCCCGCUUUUCACUUGCUGUCUCCCUUAGUCUACGACUUGGCACAUGUGCGCGGCGUCCAAGCCCAUGUCCUGCCUCACUCCCCACUCGCCUCCAGUCCCCUUGGCAUCUCUCUUAUUUUCGGGUCUCCCAACUGUCACCCUGUGCGCCCUCUGAUUAUAAUCGGUGGGGUAUGAGUACGGGCUUUCCCCAUGCCGUCGUGUCAAAGGAGAGGGAGGUCCCCUGGAGCCCAUGGUGGCUGUAGCGCCUAUUCUUGGGUCUGGUCUCUAUGUGUAGGCCUGAGGUCUGAUCACCUGUCCCAGGUCUAUUUCUCUCGCUCCCCCUCCUGUAGUUCACCUGAAGGCCGUCCUCUCCCCCGUCUGUCCUUUGUCACCGCUGUGGUCCCUCCCUAUGUAAAUGAAUUGGUGUCCAUGUCUCGAACUUGGGUGAGCUCGUUGACAGCUCAGGUGAAUGCAGGAUCAUGCAACCGGGCAUAGCUCGUUAGUAGCACAUGUGGAGUAAAAUAAUAACAAAUGAAUAAUAAAGUCUAUUUGGUAUAACACGUUAUUGACUCUGGUAGGGUCAAGAAUAUACAAUGUGGCAUGGCACUCUAGCCGUUCACUUAGGGUUAGGAAUACUCAUUUUGGUAUAACACUUUAGCAGCUAGUGUAAAGGUAAAAAGACACUAUUUGGUUUAGCAUGCUAGUGGCUCUUGUGGGGUUAAUAAGAGGCAGUGUGGGAUAACCCUCUAACAGCUCGUGUAGAAUUGAAGCUAAACAUUUUGGUACAGCACUCUCGCAGCUCCCAUAGAGUUAAGAAUAAACAUUUGGGUUUAAUAUGCUAACAGCUCAUGUAGAGUUAAGAAAAAAAUAACUAAGGGGGAAAAAAAAGACAAAAAACUAUUUGGUAUAACACGCUAGCAUCUCAUGUGGAGUUUAAAAUCAAACAACUUGGUGGCAUACGCUUGCAGCUCUUAUGAAGUGGAAGCUGCCUCCGUACAUGGCAGAAGCAGUAAGCACAGCUGUAAGACCAUUAACUGAAGGAUCAGAGUAAGGAGUACACAGUAAAAGAAAAAAUAAACAUUAAACAUUAAAAGAAAGCGGACUUGUGUUGUAAAAAUUUACUUAAGUCCCGUACGGGCCUUUGCUUAGUCUCUCCAGGCCUCUUAGCUGCGAUCUCCCUUCAGGACUAUCUGACCUAUGAAGGUUGCUGUUGUGUUGGUCUCCCCUCCGCCGCCCUGCCAGAGUUUUCUCCCCUCUCGGUGGUAUGUGUCUCAGUGAGCCCGGUUCACUCCCGUUGUAGCGGGCUUCAGCUGUGGCAACUGGAGCCGCCUCAGAAAGCCUGUGGGUUCUUUCGUAAUGGACAGUGACAGCACUGCAUCCCCAUGUGGUACUACCAGGGUACAUGACGCUGUAGGGUUUGUUCCGUGAGUUAGGAUCGCUGCCUUCACCGCUGCACUCCGAGUGACAGCGAUAAUGUCUCUGGGAGCCUCCAUGGAGGCUCCCUCUCCCCCCACCUUCAUCAAAGUGGCCAUUUUGUUGGAGAACUCCAGUACCGUCUCGGGUCCCACCGUCUCGGGCACCCCACGGAUGCGUAUGUUUUUCUUGCGGUGCCUGGCCUCCGUGGUAGUGACGGUGCGGGUGAGUCGCUGGAGCUGCUGGGAGAGAUCCUCUACUUUGCCUCUGGUCUCCAUGAGGAUAUUAUCUCGGGUCUCUACCGCUCCCAUAUUGGCCAUGAUGCCGCCCAGUUCUCCGCUCACCCCGUCCAGGUCCUUCUUCCAGACCCCCCAGAGCUCGAGCAGGAGUAGAGGUUGAUGUGUCCGAGUCGGAGUCAUCCCUCUGGUAUACCCCACUAGGGGCUUGUGUUGUCUCUGGUUCCUCCUCGUCUGGAGACAUCGCCGACUCGCUGGAGCCUCGAGGCCUGCUAGGCGCCAUCAUAGGCUGUGUUGGCUGUUGCGGCCUAUCAAAAGACCACCUUAUAUCAGGCAUUUUGGAAGCCUCAGAAGCCAGCAAUUUUCUAUGUUUGCACCCCAUCUCUCUGUUGGGGGGUUCAGGGUCACCAGGAGCCCAGCUGUGGCUUUAGUCUGCAGGUUUUUCGUGGCGUUUUGGUGUUGUUUUAGGUUAUUUUCCAGGAGCUCUCUGUAAACACGUCUGCUUAGAUGCUCAGCUAGCCACGCCCCCCUCAUGUCUUUUAUACAUUAAGAGGAUACCCAUCGUUGUAAGGAAAACUUGAAGAAUCUGUACCACAAUAUAUCCAUAGGUGGAGAUCAUUCCACCCAGGCGAGCUGUAUUUAAACUCCCUGAAAGUGUGAGUGUACAAUUUUUAAUUUUCCUUACUUUCUCAAGAAGUUUUUAACGUACUACACUAUCAGUCCUUUUCGUUUUACCUUUUUUUGUCAUUGCAUAUGUUCCCUAAAGGACACUUCAGGCUCUGCCGCUCCUCCCAUUGUAAGAAGUCAAACCAGGUCCCGUUUCCUGCUUUCUCUCAGAGCAGGACUGGCACAUUGGCUGCAAGAAUCUACCGAUGUCUCUCAGCCAAGGAGCUCAGCUCUGCAAUGCCAGGCUUAGCUCAGUGAAGAUAACUUUCGUGGUAGUGGUUAUGGUGCUUGAAAUGUUACGUUAAAGUGGAAAUUUAAUUUCACUGAACUUUUAAUAUUAUGUUUACAUAUUCCAUAAGUUUAACAAAUAUCUGUUUGUCAGGGAUGCACAGAGAGAGUAGGAGUAAGAAAAUCACUGUACCUGUUUCUCCUGCUCUAUGCAAUGUGUGCCCUGGCUGUGCCUUGACUGAGCUGGAUUGUGUCAGUCUAUAAUAUACAUUUCAAAGAAAUCCAUUUUCGCACUUUUUUUUAAUUGGCAAGUUUGUCACUUCCAAUACGUAUAAAAAAGAGGUGCAAAAGCGUAUUUUUAUCCCCAAGAAUAUUUUUCCGCCACUCUAGGCAGAAUGGUGGGUUUCAACUAUCACAUUAUUUCUUUUUGUUUCAUGUUUAAAAGAAAUCCUUUAAAUUGACUGGCUAGUGGGCCGUUUUUCCUAAUAGUAAUUUGUCUUAUUAUGUGAGUAUAAUUAAAGGGAACCUAUAUUCCCAAAAAUAAUUGUUAUUUCGGGACUAUACAUUCCCUUCUGUCCACCACCCUUUGCUUUUAAAAAAUAAAGUUAUAUAAAGAUUACUCAGCUCAUAUGAGCGCACCAACUAAUCUGCUGCAGCCGCCAUCUCCGCUUACAAAAAUGUCAACAUAGUUGCUUCUCAAAUGUUUUUAACAGCAUUUAAUUUCCAGACUGAGCUUUACUCGGUCUGGAGGAGGUAGCACCUCUAGUGGCUGUCUGCACACAGAUCACUUCAUUGAAAUAAAGUGGGUGAUUUUAGUGUUCAUUUCAAUGGUAAAAUUAUCAGAAAGAAAGAGCUACAACUCCAAAAGAAGACCACGAAAUUACAAAAGACAGAUCUUGGUGCACUUCAGAAAUAGCAGAAACAAGAGGCACCAAUGUGUAAAUGGUAAAGUUUUAUACAAAAGAAAAUGGUGCAUUCACACCAAAUCAAAUACCUGUUCUAUGCUGAAUAUUCCCAGUAUGGCUGUUUCUAAUCUAAAUUUUGAAAGUUGUUUCUUAAGAUGCCACAGGUGUUUACUAAAAAUUGCCCAGUUUACACACUAUAAACUCUGCUUUAUACAAUAGCAGGUCUUACUAUAUAUGUUAAAUGCUACGGACGAUAAAUUGUGGACAUGUUUCUAUUUUUAUGUACAACUAGCAGAUCUAUAUUUCUAGAGUUGGUACAAAAAUGUGCCACUGUCUAUGCCAAACCAUGACAAAUUCAGGAAAAGUAAAGAAAAGCUAAGCAUUGGCACAGUCCAGAAUGCAUGCACCUACCUGUAUUCACCUAUCUGCUUCACUACACAACUCCUACUAAUGAUACGUUUUAACCACUGCCUAUUUAAUGAUUCCUCAUAUUGCUUUAACACGAAUAAAUGGCAUUCGCCUUGUACGUGAAAAAAAAUUGUGAACACCCUGACUAUACAUAAAGAGUAAGUUGUUGGGAAUUCAAUGUGAUUAUGAAAUUUUGGCUGAAAUAUCCAAAUUGGGCAAAGACCCCCAAGCCUGUUAUGUUUUUAGAUUGGCUACUGAGGUCUAAUUUUGAAAUCACUUUGAUUUCCCCACAAUUUAAACUCUAGUGUAUAUCCCCGUGUGCAGAGUUCGUCAAACCGUGCAUGACAAACUACUGUUGUUGGUUUCACCCCUAGAAUCUGGAUGUUCUGAUAUCUGGAUGUUCUACAUUGGUAAUAAGUUUGUACCUGCAACCUUUAGUUAAACUAAAACAGUAAUGAUUGAACCAUGGCACAGUACAUGAUUGUGGACUACAUUUUAUUGAUAUUCUGCCAGCCCUCGGUGCCAAGUUUAGCCAUUAAUGGACUAACUGACUGUAAGAAUGUUAAGAAAGAGAAAUGCUCCACAGCUCCACAGCUAACUGUGGGAGUCUUAGGGCUCCAUGCCCAACAUAUUGUGUAUAGAUAUUUUAUUUAUGUUUUCAGAGACAUUUGUUACCCAUUCUUAACCAUUGCCAUGUGCCAAGCAGAUCUAUUUAUCAAUAUGUGUAAAAUACAAAUAAAAC